AGGGCUGGACCCAUGAGCCGCCCAGAAGCCCCUGCAGUACCUCAAGAAGUUGUCCUGCAGUUCAUUUAGGUAACUAUCGAAAGAAUUCCAUUCCUUCACGUGAAACGCGAUCAGCUUGCUGAGUUUUUCCUUUCGGGUCUUCAUGUUUUUCAGAGUCAAGUUGAUGACAUCGGCGUACGUCGGGGUGGACUCAGGGAUGACCGUGGUAUUUUCCCUCCUCACUACGAACACGUCCUGGCCGGCCUGCGGCAGGGUGAGGUAGCGGUGGAUGAAGUAGACGAUCAGGGGGCUCUUCCCGUAGACGUUGAAGAGGUUUGCCGACGGCUCGGGCUUUCUGCAGGCAGGGUGAGACUGAGGGGGAAAGAAAGAGGGAAAGAUAAAGCACAUAUUAAG
rnacentral:lncRNA from 1 species